UAUUCUCCUGACUGUCCUUAGGUGAGAGCACUUCCUUGGGGGAGCCCUUUUUAAUCUCAUGUGGGAUUUAUGUUGGCUUUUGUCCCUGCCACUAUGUUUUAGCAUCACAACCAGCUUUGUGGAGCUGAGGUAGACUGCUUUGCUUUGGGAGGGAGGAGGUCGAUUUUGUUCUUUCACACUCCAGUAUCCUCUUCCUUCUUGUGAACCCAGGCUAGGGCACUUUAAACAUAACUGUGGGAAGUGGGGUUGAUGGAGCAAAUCAAGACCACCACAAGCUUUCUUUGUGUCCUUGAGUAAAGUAUUUGCUCAUCUCCUGCUUCAAGACCUCCUUGUUAACCUAACUCAAGAUCAAAACACCCUUCAGAAGACCUGGCACAGGAAAUGAUGGUGAGAGGAACUAGACUAAGACAGAGAAAUCAUUCACUUCACUCUCAUCUGUCAAGAGAAAAAGGAUGAAGUUCUGAUCUGGGAAGAGAUACUGUGGAUGAGGAAAUACCUUUGGAAAGAGUUUGCUGAAGUGGCAAGAUGUGAUGACCAAGUAGACAAGAAAGAGGACUUGGGUUCAAUUCCCAGCACCCACACGGCAGCUCACAACUGUCUGUAACUCCA